AAGGGCACUCAACAAACAUUAAUCCAACUAAUUAUAUUCAUAAACACGGGACAUGGAAAAUAAUGUCACUAACAUGUCGCUUAUGUCAAUGUCGCCAUGAUCGCAAAGCAAUAAAAACGGAGUUAUAUCUCUACCUAGCUUUUAAUUAUAGAAUUAAAUACAUAUGCUAAUUAAUUUAAUAAUCAACUAUAUAUAGAAAAACAUGUGACAUGAAAAGCAUUAACACUACUGUGUAGAGCACGUCGACACAAACUAACACAACUUGAACCACUCAAAUCGGAAUUAAAAUGAUUAAACGGCGGGGAUUAAACGAAUAGUGACAAAACCAUAAGAGUAAAUUGCAAGACCGGUCCUUAAAGUAUUCGGCAGUUUUCAUCUAGGUCUCCACUAUGAAAUUGCAUGUUUGGCGCUCUAUUAUAUGUAAGUGAUUUCAUCCAGGUCCAGAACACACACAACAAGCGUUAGAAGCUGAAGUGGUUGUAUAUAUAGACUUGGUUUAAGCACAAGACCCCUAGCUGGGAGUUCCACGGUGUCCAACGUAGCAGCGUCCACUUGUCACGGUUAUUGCUGGUGUCCGCAGUGGUGUGUGGCCGGAGGUACUGCUGCUGGUGCAUGGCCCCACCGUGUGUGGGGGAGCACAACAUUGGAUGACCACAGACCAAGCCCCCCUCCCAUGUCUACCUCACCCAGCUCGGCAGUGUAACCGGCCGCCAUUGCCGUUACACGGUCGAGUUGUAUGCCACGGGCGUCAUGAUGGUGAGCAGAGGGCGAGCCGGCGGCCACACGUUUGGGCUUAAAUAAGGAGUCAUAUGCUUAAAUUAUAUCUACAUGGAUGGCCACAUCAGCUUCUAACCCUCCUUACACUACCAAAAUGGUGGAGUUCUCCUAGUGUUUUUAGUUAGUAAUAAAACACUACCACUAGUCAAAACACUAGGGAAUCCUCACUAGGAGGUAUUUACUAGGGAAAGUUUAUACUAAAUUUUGAAUGCUAAAACACUAGGAGAACCCCACACUACUAGGAGAAAUUGAAAAUUCUGGUUGUGUUAUAUGUAUUUUAAACCUGGAUGAGGUCACUUAAAUAUAUUAGGUAGUUAGAUAUGCGAUUCCAAGACCCAAAUGAUAACCACAUAAUACUUUAAAUACCGGUCAUGCAAUUUACUCAAACCAUAAAUAUAUCUUCUUCUACCUUGGAUGUCUGUACGUACAACAUGGCCAUCGGAGACAGUGCCGGCCCAAGGGUAGGCCAUCAGGUGCGACACCCAAGGGCCCAGGCAGAAGAGAGGCCAAAACCCAGGUAUACAAACCACAUGUUUAUAGUCCAUUAAGCACCAACAAACUAAUGAGAAGAGAGACAGAGAACUGAUCAACCGGCUCAAGAAGACAACAUCGGUCUUUCUUUCAUAGUUUUCUCCUCCCGGUCUUCAGGUAGAGAAGGAGGUGAGGAGCCACGCUACACUCUAAUAGUGACUAGCGAGUUCGUGACGCACCGACGCAUACACACAGAACCGAGCCGCGCCGCCGCGGAGAGUAUUGUUGGCUGAUUUAUUGUGAGAGAAAAACACUGGUGAAUGGUACGUAGCAGAUUCGGUUGAUAAGUUCAAGCGAACGAUGUCGGGGAACAACGCAUGAUAGCGGCGAC
rnacentral:lncRNA from 1 species